UUUAUGACGCGCUCUCCGGCCAGUAUGCACACCUAAGUAAUGUACGCAGGGUAAGCGUGGCUGGGAGGAGUCACGUGGAGUCAGCAUGGCAUGGAGGCUGGCGUCGGAGAUGCUGUGUAUUUAAGCUAAGUUUGUAGUUGUGUACUCCUUUUGUUUAGCUAACUUAAGCCAUAGGCUCUUCUAUGGCUUACCUGUAUGCUCACCUAGGCUCUGACAUGGUCAGGGUUCGGUGGGAUGAGUGAGGAAAUAAGAAAUGUGGUUGGUAUUGGAGUAGUGAAGGCCUGGCGCUGACUAGGCCGAGUGUUAUGGUUACUGGACCGCCAGCCGUCUGCUUCUUGUGCCUGUUAUGUGGGCGUUUAGGAUAGGAGAUACAUGAAAGUGUUUUCUAGAGCGUGUAUAUAGUGUUAUGUUGAAUAAAUAGAUAUAUUUUCCUAA